rnacentral:rRNA from 1 species
AUUGAACGCUGGCGGCAUGCCUUACACAUGCAAGUCGAACGGCAGCGCGGGGCAACCUGGCGGCGAGUGGCGAACGGGUGAGUAACAUAUCGGAACAUACCCUAGAGUGGGGGAUAACGUAGCGAAAGUUACGCUAAUACCGCAUACGCACUAAGGUGGAAAGUGGGGGAUUCGCAAGAACCUCAUGCUCAUGGAGUGGCCGAUAUCUGAUUAGCUAGUUGGUGAGGUAAAGGCUCACCAAGGCGACGAUCAGUAGCUGGUCUGAGAGGACGACCAGCCACACUGGAACUGAGACACGGUCCAGACUCCUACGGGAGGCAGCAGUGGGGAAUUUUGGACAAAUGGGCGAAAGCCUGAUCCAGCAAUGCCGCGUGAGUGAAGAAGGCC